UACGGAGGGUGCGAGCGUUGUCCGGAAUCACUGGGCGUAAAGGGCGCGUAGGCGGCGCGGUAUGUCACCUGUGAAAUCUCCUGGCUCAACUGGGAGCUUGCAGGCGAAACUGCCGUGCUGGAGUGUGGGAGAGGUGCGUGGAAUUCCUGGUGUAGCGGUGAAAUGCGUAGAUAUCAGGAGGAACACCUGUGGCGAAAGCGGCGCACUGGACCACAACUGACGCUGAGGCGCGAAAGCUAGGGGAGCAAACAGG
rnacentral:rRNA from 1 species